ACUCAAGUUCUCAUCCUUGUGUCUUCAAAAAGCCCCACCCUCCCUUCCUGCACAGGCAGCUGAGUGUGUUCCUGUGGGCACAGUGUGAGGUGGGAGCCUGGCCCUCCCAGCCCAGUGUGGGCACCUCCGUCCCUGUCUCAAGUCAGGUGCAUCUGCUGCAGCUUCAUCCUUCCUUGAGCAAAUCAUUUUUUCCAAUUCC